AGCUAGAAACUCGAAACACAGUGUUUAAAAAUAAAUAAGAAAAAAUAUUCAUUGAUAAAUGUUAUUAUUCGGUUAAGGAUUUUCCUAAUGACGAUAGUUUAUAACAUUUUUAUUUAUUUAUUUUAUUUUAUUGGUAUUCAGGACAACAACAGCCGUAGAUAUACAAUUUACAUAGGUAUCUUUACAUAGUAUUAGGCCAAUAACAGUUAUCCGUUGGUUGCAAAAUAAUAUACAAAUAUAUUAUUAGUAAAACAAAGUAAGUAAUAUUUAAAGUGAAACUGUGCAAGCCCACAGUAACAGUAACAGUACGUGAUAAUCAAUAUGAAAAUUGAAGUUGGAGGUAGGAGGUACACAUGCUUGCAUAAAGUUAAUAGGUGUGCAUUAACGUUAAUAGUUGUUUUAAUUUAUUUAUAUUGCACUUGUAAAUAAUUAUAAGCGAUCACGCUUUUACCCAAAGAUCACUAUUUAGCGCUCCUGUAAAGUAACUGUUUUACUUACUACAUUUUAUGUAAUGUGCAUGGUUAGGGACCAUCCCUUGCAUAAGAUACCUUUUCUUUCUUCCUAGCGUUGUCCCGGCAUAUUGCCACGGCUCAAGGGAGCCUGGGGUCCGCUUUGACAACUAAUCCCAAGAUUUGGCGUAUGCACUAGUUUUUACGAAAGCGACUGCCAUCUGACCUUCCAACCCAGAGGGUACUAGGCCUUGUUGGGAUUAGUCCGGUUUCCUCACGAUGUUUUCCUUCACCGAAAAGCGACUGGUAAAUAUCAAAUAACAUUUCGUACAUAAGUUCCGAAAAACUCAUUGGUACGAGCCGCGGUUUGAACCCGCGACCUCCGGAUUGCAAGUCGCACGCUCUUACCGCUAGUGUUGUCACAUCUACCAACUUUUGGGUAGAUCUACCUAUUUUGCCUGCGUUCUACCUAUCUACCUCCAUCGGCCUGAAAUCUACCUAUUUUUCAAAAUGGUACAAUUGUUAGUAAUUCUCAAUACAUGUGACGGAACUUUACUCAAUUUCUACCGAAUUUAGAUUCGAUGUAAUGAAAACUUGCCAAAGAAACAGAUUAUACAAGCAGGUUCAUUACCUACAAACAAUGGAAAUCCUCAUUUUUGUUUCGAUUUCUUUAAUAAACACGUGUACUAACAUCACAAUAUUAAAGACUAA